rnacentral:rRNA from 1 species
UUUACUUACACCUCAUCGUCAGGGUACUACGAGCAAAGCUUAAAACCCAAAGGACUUGACGGUGCCCCAUAUCCCCCUAGAGGAGCCUGUCCUAUAAUCGAUGAUCCCCGUUUAACCUCACCGCAUCUAGCUUACCAGUCUGUAUACUUCCGUCGCAAGCCUACCACAUGAGCGAUAUUUAGUUAGCCCAAUGUUCACACAAUGUAUUUACAUCAACAAUACGUCAGGUCAAAGUGCAGCAAACGAUGCGGGAUGAGAUUGGCUACACUUUUUAACUUAGAAAAAACGGAAGACAAUAAUGAAACUUUGUCAGAAGGUGGAUUUAGCAGUAAAAGAAAAAUAUAAAAUCUCUUUUAACUCGGCACUGGGGUGUGUACACACCGCCCGUCACCCUCUUCAAAAAUCUUAAGCCAGUACUUAACCCACUAUCAAAAAUAAAGAAGAGGCAAGUCGUAACAUGGUAAGCGUACCGGAAGGUGUGCUUGGAAA